UUUUAUUUGAGAGUUUGAUCCUGGCUCAGGAUGAACGCUGGCGGCGUGCCUAACACAUGCAAGUUGAGCGAUUUACUUCGGUAAAGAGCGGCGGACGGGUGAGUAACGCGUGGGUAACCUACCCUGUACACACGGAUAACAUACCGAAAGGUAUGCUAAUACGGGAUAAUAUAUUUGAGAGGCAUCUCUUGAAUAUCAAAGGUGAGCCAGUACAGGAUGGACCCGCGUCUGAUUAGCUAGUUGGUAAGGUAACGGCUUACCAAGGCGACGAUCAGUAGCCGACCUGAGAGGGUGAUCGGCCACAUUGGAACUGAGACACGGUCCAAACUCCUACGGGAGGCAGCAGUGGGGAAUAUUGCACAAUGGGCGAAAGCCU
rnacentral:rRNA from 1 species